AGCAGCUGCUAGAAGGGGAUUUAGGGGAAGGAAAGGGAGGGAUAUUGUUUCUGGAGGAAAGGAGAGACCUCAUCUCAGCUCCACUGCCAGAUCUCGGGAGCGGAGCCCUUUUGCACGGAGCCACCCCAGCUUCCCCCUCCAAACCGAUGCCAGUUGGCCUUGGCAGCCCUUCUCAUCGAGUUCCCAACCGCACACAGGACGGAUGCACACGGACGAGCUGUCUGCACACCCUCUGAACUCACAGGCGUACACACUCGCCGAGGGCUAAUCGGAGGGCUGGAGAGGGGGAUUGGCCGGGACUGGGGGAGGAGAUGCUUCCAGCUUGACCUCGGGCUGCCCCGGUCCACCCAGGCCUCAGCCCUCCAAGACUUCGCCCCCUCCUCGGCCCAUCCGUCCCCUUUGCUCGGCUCUUCGAUGUACCGCUCGUCCGUCCGUUCCCGGUGUGUGUCCAAAACUUCCCCUCCAGGGCACCUUUGUUUGUGCGGACGGGACCUCUUGUUUCACCGCCAGUGCCCGGUUCGUGUGCAAAUUUUUAGUGGUUUUUUUUAAUAACUGGCCCCUCCUGCUGGGAUGGUUUUGUCAUACAGAUCCCAAAGAGAGAGGUGCGUGCAUGUGUAUCUGUGUAAGAAGUGUCCGUGGGUGGCGGCGUUCAAGUAGCGAGUGAGAGUCUAUUGGAGAUUGGGGUGGAUUGGAGUUUGGGCAGGGCCUUUCUCCCCCCUCCUCCGCCCCCUUCCAGGAUAUAAACAGCACGCAACAACUUUGGAAGA